UCGAUUGAUGAGUUGAGUUGUGUUGCAAGAACGGAAGCGGAGGAUAAAUCCGCGACUUUAAACGACAUGCGUUUUAUUGUGCCUCCAGAGAAAAGUCUAAAAUACCCGCCACCACCACGACGAUAAUUUUUUCUUAUUUGUUUAUGUCAAGCCAGAUUUGCUCAAAAUAGCCACCAGGCACUCAGAUCGUAUCGUUGUUCAUGAAAAGCAAGAGUCAAUUCCUCCUAACCCUAACCCUAAAAUCUCAUCGAUGGAGCUCGCUCGGAUGUUCAGAUUCAAUCGGACCUUCGCUCCGACCACACCCGAUCUCCAGCCCCAUCACCAAGAGAGGCUGAUAUCAAUAAUGGCUUCGAUUCAAGUCGAUUCUCCGACCGUUAAUUUUCGGUUUCGGGAUCUCAAUUCUUCGUUGAGAAUUGGGGUCUCAAUUCUUCGUUGAGAAUCGGUUCUCGCUUUCGGAAAAAGAUUUCGCUUAUGCAAGAGAAUUUUCUUACGAAUCUUUACCUUCUCGAUCUUCAUCUGCAGUUUGAAAUGCAAAAGGGUACUUCAGGGAGGGAUGCUUCGAUAACCCGAAGCUCGUUGAUGAGAAGGCUUGGGAUCUUGAAAUGAUAAAUGAUGAUGAUGAAGAAAGCGACUUGGGUGAAUGAUAUGAUAACUUUUACGAAGUUGGAAGAUGAGAGGAUAAAAUGAGAAUGAAAAAAACGACUGCGAUGAAGAUUAUGUAGGUUCGAUUAUGAUCGGGGGGAUGUUAUUUGGUUUUUUUUUCUUUCCUUGGGUUCCUUUUUCACUUCAUCAAAUCAUCCGAUGCAUGACAAUCGAAUCAAACUGGAAAAAAGAAAACAAAAAAAGUUAGCCCUUAACAACUAUUUGGCCCAAUUGGAUUGUAUGGAACGUGACAUUAAUAAGUUAAAAUUCCAGUAUUUUGACCCAA